GUGGGUUUAGAUUGGUAAGGACUAGAGGGAAUCCUUAAGUUUCCCAAAAAAGGGAGCCUUAUCCACACAAUUUUGCAAUCAACUUCUAGGCGAUCCUAUAAUAUGGGAGGGAUCUAUUAGCUAGGUAUAAUCAGACAUUGUUCAAUCAAAAAGACAUCAUUACGAGGUUUUAGGCUUAUACUUUACAAAACAUCUAAUAUUGUUACAAUUUUAUUCUAAUUACUCUAGUAGUUUUAGCUUUUUAGUCAAACUUUCUCUUCACAAUUUUUCAUGUUGUGGAUCAUUCUUCAAACUUCAUUCUUACGAUCCACACCCGCCAGAGUAAUAUAAUAGCAGUUAAGCAUGAGAUAAGGGGAAUAUGAGGGGAUGAGGGGGAUAUUUUCAAAAAAAUUCAAAAAAUAUGAGCAAAAUAGAAGGUUUUGAGUUUCCUAAGGCGUAUGGGCCAGCUUAUAUGGAUUUAUAAAUUUUUUAUUGCUCUGUUGGGAACCUUCCUUCGAAAGUCCCGCUGAUCACCUAUAUUAGUCCUUGGAUUAGUAGGCUAACACAACUACCAUCACAGUUCAGUAUUUUAAGCAAUAAAAG
rnacentral:lncRNA from 1 species